GAUGAACGCUGGCGGCGUGCCUAAUACAUGCAAGUCGAGCGAACAGACGAUGAGCUUUCUCCUCUAACGUUAGCGGCUGACGGGUGAGUAACACGUAGAUAACCUACCUCUAAGACUGGGAUAACUUCGGGAAACCGCAUCUACUACCGCCUAAUAUAUUCAACCGCUCGGUUCAAUAGUUCAAGACGGUUUUGCUGUCACUUAUAGAUGGAUCCGCGCUGCAUUAGCUAGUUGGUAAGGUAACGGCUUACCAAGGCAACGAUGCGUAGCCGAUCUGAGAGGGUGAUCAGCCACACUGGAACUGAGACACGGUCCAGACUCCUACGGGAGGCAGCAGUAGGGAAUAUUCGGCAAUGGGCGAAAGCUUGACGGAGCAACGCCGCGUGAGUGAUGAAGGUCUUCGGAUUGUAAAACUCUGUUAUUAGGGAAGAACAAAUGUGUAAGUAAAUAUGCACGUCUUGACGGUACCUAAUCAAAAAGCAACGGCUAACUACGUG
rnacentral:rRNA from 1 species